GGUUUUCGAAUUUCUUCUUCCGACUCUUGUUUGGGUUCUUUCUUACUUUCGCUAGUCUCAAAUUAGGUUCCUAGUAUCAUUCCUAGGUCCAUUAGCUCCUGCAUAACUAAAGGGACUUGAGAUUGCUAGAAGAGAGGUUUGUGGAUUGGUUUGGGACUUUAGCCGAGGUUCAUUAAGGAAAUUUGAAUUUGCUGUCAUUCACCCCCCCUGAUCACCCGUCCCGGUC
rnacentral:lncRNA from 1 species